AUACGGAGGAUCCGAGCGUUAUCCGGAUUUAUUGGGUUUAAAGGGUGCGCAGGCGGCCAUUUAAGUCAGCGGUUAAAUCGUGGGGCUCAACCCCAUUCUGCCGUUGAUACUGGGUGGCUUGAUUGCGGUCGAGGUUGGCGGAAUUCGUUGUGUAGCGGUGAAAUGCAUAGAUAUGACGCAGAACACCGAUUGCGUAGGCAGCUGACCAGACCGCAAGUGACGCUCAUGCACGAAAGUGCGGGGAUCGAACAGGAAUAGAUACCCUGGUAGUCCGCACAGUAAACGAAAAAUACUGGUUUUCGGCGAUAUAAUGUCGGAGGCAAAGCGAAAGCGAUAAGUAUUCCACCUGGGGAGUACGCCGGCAACGGUGAAACUUAAAGGAAUUGACGGGG
rnacentral:rRNA from 1 species